AGUGAUGAAGUACCUCGAGUUACGUUGGUUGAGCACUCUCCAUUUCUUUCCCUUAGUCACAAACAACACCUACAUACGAGGCUUUGUGCUGUCGUGUCAACUCGUAUGGCCGUUGUCAUGACGUUGCUAAUACGGCACUAACAGAUUUGGGACCAGGGCUAACUGCUCUAUUCCUGUUGUGUAGCCUGCUAUCACACCAAGCAGCUGUGGCCCGGCAGGGGGGCUAGUUAGCCGCUUAGCCUAGCUAGCCAGCCGGGGAAAGAGAGGAUAUCUUCAGGCCUUCAGCAGACUCAUGAGAACAGACUAGUUGGAGUCGGCUUCCUUCCUGUUUUAGCCACGGUGACACACAAUGGCUGAAUAGUUUCUCAUUGCAGGGCUACUAAACAGUAGAGUUCUGUGCUACUGUUGUCCUGAGAAACAGGACAGCAGAGCUCUCCUGUGGUUCAUCUAAUGGUUUCUGUUAUUCACGGUGGCCUGUUACUGCUAUCCCUACUGAACGUGAUGACACAUUUUUCCUAUGUAGGCCUAUGGAGUUUUUCUUUUUCCUAUGUAGGCCUAUGGAGUUUUUCUUUUUCCUAUGUAGGCCUAUGGAGUUUUCAUUUUUCCUAUGUAGGCCUAUGGAGUUUUCCUUUUCAGUCGGCUUAACCUCCUCCAUUUUUACAUCCUGUUACUGUUUAGUUACCGUGAUGGCUGUCAUGUUCCACGAGAGUCAAAAACAAAGGAGGAAAUAG
ensembl:lncRNA